rnacentral:rRNA from 1 species
UACGUAGGGGGCAAGCGUUGUCCGGAAUCAUUGGGCGUAAAGAGCGUGUAGGCGGUCCGAUAAGUCCGCCGUGAAAGUCCAGGGCUCAACCCUGGGAUGCCGGUGGAAACUGUCGGGCUGGAGUCCGGAAGAGGCGAGUGGAAUUCCUGGUGUAGCGGUGAAAUGCGCAGAUAUCAGGAGGAACACCAAUGGCGAAGGCAGCUCGCUGGGACGGUACUGACGCUGAGACGCGAAAGCGUGGGGAGCAAACAGG